rnacentral:rRNA from 1 species
CAAUAGCGUAUAUUAAAGUUGUUGCGGUUAAAAAGCUCGUAGUUGGAUUUCUGUUGGGAACGACCGGUCCGCCCAUUGGGUGUGUAUCUGGCUUGUUCUCGGCAUCUUCUUGGUGAACGUUGCUGCACUUGACUGUGUGGAGCGCUACCCAGGACUUUUACUUUGAGGAAAUUAGAGUGUUUCAAGCAGGCAUAUGCCUUGAAUACAUUAGCAUGGAAUAAUAAGAUAGGACCUCGGUUCUAUUUUGUUGGUUUCUAGAGCUGAGGUAAUGAUUAAUAGGGAUAGUUGGGGGCAUUCGUAUUUAACUGUCAGAGGUGAAAUUCUUAGAUUUGUUAAAGACGAACUACUGCGAAAGCAUUUGCCAAGGACGUUCCCAUUAA